rnacentral:lncRNA from 1 species
UUAGAUGCCGCUGUAUCAAAUGACCUAAAAAAAAUAUUUAAUAAACCAAAUAUGUAUAUAUCAAUAAAAUCUAAUUGAAAUAGUACUAUACUAUUAAAGAACAUAAGAAAAAUGGAGAUCGAUGGACCUUGGAGGCAUGGCCAUGGGGAGCUGUGAAACGGCGUGACUCGAGGUCCAAGGAGUCGUUUCUUCGCAACUUUUGCCAUGAAAGUUUCUUCCGUUUGAGUUGAUCCUUAUGAUGCUCAUGAUGAUCAGAAACUUCCUGAUGAUCUUGGCUUCCCUCAUCUGUAGGGUUUUCCACUACUACCUCUUCAUCAGACAUUUCUAUUAAACCUAGGUAGCCACUUCUCACACACUAAAAUUAAUUUCUAGAGAGAGAGAGAAAACUGCAGGUAGGUCUUCCUCUUUGAGAGCAAAAGCAAGCUAGCUAGCUAGGUGUUUGGGAGAGAGUUAGAAAUCUGGGGGUGCCAAGUGUGGGGAGGUGUUCUAUAUGUGAGGAUGGAUGGUGAUAUUUAAAGGCAAAUUAAUUGAGGAAGAGGCCACAACUCAUUUACUAUAUGCUCAUAUACAUUGAUCGUAUAUUUAUACGCAUGGUUUGCACACAUAUACGUACAAAGUUGAAUAAAAUGUAGGGAAACAUAUCUCAUGGCACUAGCAAAACAAAUCUCAUGGCAUUAAGACAAGAGCUUGACCUUGUUUGUGAGAAUAAUGUGAAGCUGGCCUAAAUGAGCUUCGUCCGAGGUUGAAGAUGUUGAUGGGCUCCCAAUUUGAAAUCUUUUUAAUUGCUACAUAUUUAUCCCUUUAGCCCUUGAUCUGUCAAUUCUUACAGAAUCAUAUACACACACAUGUGUGUGUGCGUGCGCACGCGUGCGUCCUUGUCUAUUUUAUAUAUUAUUCACGAAUCACAUUCACAAGAAAUUUUUUAGGUACUUGAAAUACGAGUGACACACCAUGUGUCAUUAUACAAAUAGUGUGAUAUUUGUAUUAAAAAUUUCUUCACAUGUAUAACGACCCAUAAAAAUUUUCCGAUCAUAAUAAAAAAAUUUCUCCACAUUUUCAUGACAUUUCCAUUUUUCUAAGGUGACGGCACUAUCAUUCAUACUCCCUAUUAUAUAAAAUUAGGUUACCUUGUUCUUUUGGACUUGGAAUAUUAAUGCACAUUACCCAAUUAUAAUAUUUUUGUUUUAAAUAAGUAUUUAAAUGCCCAAUAAUUCAACUUCUUCAUAGGUCAAGUUUUGUUACCAGCUGUGUAUCUACCAUAUUUUAUAUUUUAUAACUCAUGCUCCUUUUAAUAUAAUUUCCCUUUCUUGUAUAAAAAUAGUUUCUUAUAUAUAAAUAUUCUUUGUAAAAAAUUUGAAAACUUAUAUGUGAAACUAAUGAAACUUACAAUGAUACAAGGAUAUUCUCAAUAAAAAUGGCAAUAAUGAAAUUUACAAUGAUACAAGGAUAUUCUCAAAAGAUAUACGUAAUACGUAUAAGGUAGAUUUGAGGCAAUAAGGUCCAUAACUACAGUCAAAGACUCAAAAGUCAAUCCCCCGUGCGCUUAUGUUAGAGGUCACACAAAAUGAUAAUCCUUUAUUUUAUGUGUAACAGGUUGUUUCUAUAUACAUGACGAUGUGAUAUUAUUAUAUUGUACAAACUUUAUACUUAGGAUUGUUUAUUCUUUCUAUAGAUAAGUUCAUUUAAUUUAAAGAUUGUUUAGUUAUCCUUAACACAUGUCAAACAAAUCCAUUGUUAUGGUAACAAGUAAUAUCAUUACGUUUAACUGGCUCACGUGUGUGACGAUUUGCUAUUUUUCAUCUUAUUCUUUAUAAUUUUUAUUUAGUUUAGUUUGGAUUUUUUUUUUAAAUUAAAUUAUUUUAUGUUAGAAUCUUAAUUAGAAAGACGUAUUUUGGGGAUAUUGAAAGCUUCACCAUUUGGGUGUAUAUAUGUAUGUAUGUAUGUAUGUAUAGCUAAUUAAGCUUGAUUUGCAGCAAAUAAGAAACUGUAUUAAUACUGAUCUAUCACAGUUAAUCUGUUGCUUUGCUUAGUUAUAAUCGGAUAACUUAGAGCAAAAGCCAGAGAGAGUUUUGUUGUGGAAGAUGUCCACGCGAUCGUCGUCACGUGUGACAUGAGUAGGAUUUAGGCUUUAAGCUUUUCGGAAGUAUCAGAGGAAGGCAUCAACUGUUUGACUUAGGGCACGCAUGGUAUGGCGCAACCAAAGCUUUUGGUCCUUGGCGUUGUCAAGAUUCCACUGCAUGCUGGUAGCUGCUUUAGAGGGGGGAGUUUUUGGGGUGCGAAAGACGCAGUCGCACAGGCCCCAAAUUUGAAGGGAUUCUCAAAAUUUUUGUCACCUAGUAUUUAUAUGUAAUAAUAUUCUAUAUUUAAAAUUGCUUUUGUUAUGAGAUAAUGUUCUAUAUUCAAAAAUUGAUUUUAUUAGCACAUUAAAAUCUCAUCUUAGACUCCUUAUAAGCGUAAUUUUUUUUUUCUUUUCUAACUAUAAAAAUUUAGAGCACAAUAAGAUAGUUUGAGUGCUAAUAAUACACCAUAAAAGACGGUAUUUUUUUCAAUAUUAUUAUAUAAUAAUGUCACAUAUUCAAGUGAAACUUUAAAGUUAGAGUUUUUGAAGUUUGUUUUCUUGUUUGGUUGUUUAAGAGUGAAGUGCUUUUGAUUAUUUAGUAAACAUUAUGUUUGUAGCUCUUUUACUUAUUAUUAUUAACAUUUUUAAACUUGCAAUCAGUGAGUGCUAAACUUUGUUUUGAUUUAAGUAAUUGUUUUCUAGCGUCAAUACAUUGUCCUACAUUUUUUUUAAGACUAUCUUAAGGAGGGGCGCUUUUAUAAAUUUAGCACAGGGACCCUAAAAUCUCAGAGACGACCCUGCUGCUUAGGGGCCAAUCAACAGGAGUUACGUACCAAAUUUUGUUAUUUUUUCUGGAGUAAUGUUUGGGAGAUUAAAUUUAUAGACAAAGUUUUGAAAACUAAAAAACAUGGAAGUUGAUGAUUAGUUUAUUACUUACACAUUGAUAAACGUGCUUAGUCUUAUUGGUGACACAUGAUUUAGUUUGCAAAUUUAGUCUCCAAAUUUGGUCUCCCUAGCAUUAUUAUUUUUUAUGUUGUGUAGCAAUUGCUACUGCUAACAACCCCCUAUGGCUUUUAUGCCAACUUCCAAAUUUAGAUCAUGUUUUAGGAGGGGGUAUUCGGUUGGGCCACUGUACUAUGGCAACACAUACAAAGUGUAGGGACCAACGAGCAAGUAGAUGGGAUCAUGGAACAAAAUAUAGGACUUACAUGAAACAAGAACACUAAGGCGACUGUAUCAUAAACCAAUUAAAUAACGCCACAUGAGAAAUUGAAAACAAAUGGUGUUGUGUUAUUAGUCUAGAAUGCCAAUAUAGGUUUAUAUAUAUUAAAUUUAUUAUUAUUAAGACGAAGUGGAGGUUUCGAAACUAUUAAAAUAAUUUAAGAAAUGAUAGAGUUUCAAACUCAGGAUAUUUGAGGGGAAACUCAACACCCUAUCUACUAAGAUAUUAGAUUGCAUGCAUAAAUGCCAAUGUAGGUAAACCUGCCUAAGGAAGAGGUGUUUUUAUGUGCAAUCGGAAGCAUCAUAUGGUCCAAAUACCUGUAUUGAAGUUUUUCUCCUAAUUUAGUGCUAUCUUUUAUAUGUAUGUGUAAGUUGUAGCUAUCAGUUAUACCCCUUAUGAUUUAGCUACAAUGGGCGAUUGGGGUCAUUCGAAAGUGACUCUAAGAAGCAGCUCAUGAGAGUUGCUUUUCCUUAAAAUCACUAGCCAUCGUGAUUUCAAGCAAAAUCACCAAAAGUGAUUUAUAGAGAAGCACAUCUCCUUCUCCCAGAAGUGAUUAAAGCCCUCUCAGAAUUACUUUCCGAACGAAACCUUAGACUCCAAAGUGUGAAACUUGCCUGUUCACAAAUUCAUAGGCUUUUUCUCUCUAAAACAUCCUUCAUAGAAUUUUAUAUUAUAUAUUUAACCCUAUUCUUGGUAUAUUUUGGUUAAUAUUUUGGAAGAAUUUUGAUACUUUGAAUUGUAUUUUCAAUAUAGGACUUUCAACUUCCUCUGGUGCAAAACGUGGUCAAAUGGACGAAUUUUGGAGUAAUUCCAGUUGGAAGACGUUCGUGAGCCACUCAGCUUGAUCGUAUCAAAAAUUGGGAUUUUUCCAUCAUGUGGUUAUUUUCUGGCGAUAAAAUAAAGGAGCAAUGCGUGGUGUUGAAAAAUGACGUUUCUGGGUUUAAUUUGCAUUUUUGGAGCCCAAGAUGACCUCAGAUGGUUUCGUGGCCUUCUGGAGAUGUGUUCGGAACGUCCUUAUCUUUAAAACAAGCUAUCCUGGCCCGGAUUUGGAGGAGAUCUGAGGCUAAAACGUGGCUGGACAAGUACUUGGCAGAUUCUCCUAGUUUAAUUAGGGUUUUAUUUUUUUAAGAGAUUUUAUUAUUUUUCUUAGUUUCCUAGUUGGAUUAAGAAACCUAUGUCUUAGGGUUUGUAAGGGCUGAGCAAAUAUAUGGCUUUGGCCGUCUAUAGUUUUUGGGGACGCUUAUUAUUAUUCAACUUCAGAGACAAAGAACUUGGCUAGGGUUCUUGGAGAUUUUCUACUUUAAGGUGUUUUCAUUCCUUUUAUUUUUAAUAAUAUUUUCUAUGAUUUCAAUUAUGAAUAUGCAUAACUAAUUCAUUUUGCUAGGGCGAAGCCUUGAGCCUUAGCAUGAAUAUGUAAUUUUUAUUUAAUUGCUUAUGAUUGAUUGCAUACACACUUUGAAUUAUUGAUCACUGUUUUAAACUAUCUAAUUAUCUUGAUGACUGACCACCAUUAGGAUGUUUACACAAGUAAUUAGAUGCAAUUUGGUCGAAUAUCACCGGAUGAUUGAGUAUUGCUUCUUGUGAUUGAUAGAUGUAAUUUCAUCUAAGGCGAAUAUCACGUUUUUAGGGGUUGCAUGGUUCUUCAAAGGUUUUCAUGAAACUUAAUGAGUCUUGCAUGUUCAUAUUUGAUCUGAAUAUCACAGACGAAUUGCAUGUUAGAUAUACGUUCUUGCUUGAAUAUCACGAGGAUAAUAUAUAUUAGGAAAACCUAACCUUCGAAGUGGCAUGUGUAAAUCAUAAAUAAUUGGUAAAAAUACAUAAAAUUGCUAUGUGAUGGUGGAACCCUAGUGUCUUUAUAAAUUGGUAUUUAAAACUCUUUUCUUCUAUUAUAUUAGUUUUUAUUUAAAAUUCGUUUUUAAUAUUACCUACUCUCAAACUCUCUUUUCUCAAGUUUUAAUUCUAAGUAUUUAAUUAGGAAUUGUUUCUACAUAAAUUAUCCAAAUAGUCCUUGAGGAAAACGACCUUGCAUGAGCAUCUAUACUAUAACAUCCUUGUAUUCUUGCAAGUAUUUCAUGUGAUUUUGACCCUAUUUGCAUAGACGUUAAAAAUCCUAUCAAGAAAUUGGCGGCGUUGCCGGGGACUAUGUUAGAUAAUUUUUGUUUAAACUUUUUCUGAUUAUUUUUUAUUAUUUUUCGUCCACAAAAAAAUCAAUUUAUUUUAACGCUUUUGUGUUAUUGCAGAUUCUGUAAACUGCAUGGUCCAGAUUAGAUUAGGAACUGCCCAGAUUGCACAGUUUGAUCCAGAACCCGAACGCACACUACAUAGACAGAGGAGAGAAAAUAAUUUGCUUUCAGAUUAUGUACUGCAAGGCACAUUCCUGCAGGAAUUAUUUGCUGGUUUUGUAGACAGUCAAAUCACAAUGGCGUUGCAAUUGCCUGCAGCAGGCAGGCCACUCAGAGAGUCAUUGGUUGCCCAAGCCAAUGAUGUUCCUAAUUGUAUUGUGUAUCCUUCCCAGGAAGAUGGCGAUUCAUUUGAGAUCAAGCACCAUAUGCUUGAAAUUUUACCUACUUUUCGUGGGCUGCCUAACGAGGAUGCUAAUUUACAUGUUGCAAAAUUCAUCGUGGGUUGCAAAAAUAUCUUGAUCAGGGGUUUUUCUACCGAGGCUAUUAAGUUACGUCUUUUUCCUUUUACUUUGAAGGAUAAGGCUGAAACUUGGUUAUUCACUCUACCGGCUAAUAGCAUUACUACUUGGCAACAAUUGCAUACAAGUUUCCUGAACAAAUAGUUUUGUCAUGACGUUGCCUUUGCCGCUCUAGGGUAUUUUCCCUGCAACAGAACAAUCAUGUGUAUGAGUUCCAGUGGAACCAGGUGUAUCAGUUUGGGGGUUGAUUGAUUCUUUGUCUUCAACACGUUUCGAGUCCACAUGGGCAUAGAUAUGUUUUGGGGUGAUCAGGUUUCAUCUCAUGGGGAGAAGAUAAUACAUGCAUGCUGCUUUACUCAGAGAUGGGUGUUUAUACCUUUCCGAUCCACGGUCGCGUUGACUUAGAAAUUUGUUUUGCCAUUUUGUCGACUACAUUUACAGCUUGCGCACUCUUUUUCUCAGAUUUCCACUCGAUCCGAGUCACCUACAGGCACAGAGAGACAGAGAUUUGGGUUAUGCAAUGACUUUGAAUUAUCCUUAGCCAUACAGUGCUCAACAUUUCACGACAGGAGUUGUACCUUUCUUAUGCUCGGAUCUGUGGGUCUGACACGCUUUGCUUCUGUUUCUACUUUGCAGACAUCAGAUCCGUGAGCCGUCUACACACAUUUUAACUCACAAAAAUUUGGUGUCUUGUUGCCUCUCUCUUUUGUUGUGGAUCCACGUACUCUCGCAGAAACAAAGGCAUGCAUGCAUUAGUUUUUUUUUUUCCAUGAAAAGAAGCUCACUGGAACUAAAUGACAGCAUGGAACGAUUUUUUUUUACCUUUAGCAUUUCAGGAUUCCCGACCGAGCUCCAGUGCAGAUGAUGACUCCCAUUUAUGGGGAUACAUAGAAAUGAGAGGGCUACAAGUGUUGAGCAUACUGAGAGUCUCUUUGGAUUUUCUAGAGAGAGUGAGACGGAAACCUCUUUUCAUUUUGGAGAGAAAUGGGUUUUGAGAGAUCAGAGAGUGUUGAGCGCAUUAUGAGAAAUGAGAAGGCCUAGGGGUUCUAAAAGCCAUCUGACAUGACAAUGAGUGACUAUAACACAUUUCAGCGUCUCUAUUGAAAUCUUAAGAGCAAAUCCACCCUUGCUUUUUGCUCGGGGGACAAGCAGCAGGAAAAGGCCCGAGAGCCGGUGGGUUCUUCUCCAGCCAUGGAGAGCCCGAGUGAGGGUGGGAGCCCAAGGGCCGGGGGGUGGGCAAUUGACAGGCCUGUGGCCCGAGGCCCGUGACGUCAAGCCUGGGUCCGGGCUUUUUUUUUUUAAUUUUUUUGUGUCAGGCGCGUGCCCCUCACUCACAAGUGGGGGCGCGUCGCCCGACAGGAAAUCAGGGCACGGGCCCAGCAACCCAGUUACCGUUGGGAAGCCACGUGGCUUCCCACGAUCCAUUUGAUCCCAACGACUAUUUAAUACGAGCCGUCCGAUUUGCAACAGUAAUAAAAAAAAAGCUGAUUUUAUAUCAACCGUUCGAUCUGAGAUCAACGGUUGAUAUUAAUCUUCUUUAUAAAUUAAAAAAAAAGAAAAAAUAGUUUUAAAAUUAAGAAAAGUUACCGUUGUGACACGUGGUACAAUCUGGAGUGUUGGAAUUCAAAUUUUUUAAAAUCCAACGGCAGAGAUUAAUUAUUUGAAUAAAAUUUUUAAAAAAAAUUGUAAAAAAUCCGAAAAAAUUGUAAAAAAAUAUGAAAAACAUUUGUAAAAAAUUGUUUGUACUUUUCUAUAAAUACCACUUCUUCUCCAUCUACUUUACACCACAAUUUCAUAUUUUCUCAACUACUUCCAAUGAAAUUCUUAUCUUUCUCCCAAAGUUUCAAUCCAAUUUUUUUUCCACAAAAUGACUACUGAUGCAGGUACGAAUUGGUCGCUUCUUGAAGAUGUUGCGUUGUGCACUAGCUGGGUUGAAGUUACUCAUAAUUCAUUUACGGGUAAUGAGAUGCAAUUGCGAGAAAUGUGGAGUUUAAUUCAUACCAAAUUUCUUGAGCAAAUGAGUGGGAAAAGAACCAAAGAAUCGAUGUCCAGUCGUUGGAAAAUACUUAGCCAUUCCUUUAGUACGUGGAGAGAUGCUUUGCCACAAGCUAGUAGUAAUGUUCGAAGUGGGGAAAAUUAUGCGGAUGAGGUAAGAAACUAGAAAAACAUUUCACAUAAUUUUCUCUGUACUAUCUCAUAUUUUCCUAGUAUCCAAACACAUUGUACCGAUCUUUCGCCAAUUACGACUACAUAAACAAUGCACAUACAUACAAAUUAAAUCAAGAACAUUGAAGUUUAAAGCAAAAUAAAUAAAAACAUUAAAAAAUAAAUAAAAACCUUUUUCUUGGUGGAACCGCCAAUCGCAGCGCAAUUGGGAAAAUCUCUUUUUUUCCGAUUCUUCCUCAUCUGCCCAGAUGAAAAACCAAAGAACACUUCAAUCUAAUAAUCCCAAUUCAGAAAAACACAGAUAAAAUGCAAGAAUCGAAUCGAGAGAGUUUACCAGAAAUGCUCUGAUCAAACUCUGGAAUUGUCUGAAAACAACGCAUAGCACGGUGGUGGAGCUUAUAAAUCUUUAGAAACAGAGGAAAUUGUGGGUUCAAAGGAAGAGGUUCGCCGGCAGUGGGUUUUGACGCCAAAUUUGGUCCUCGAUGCGUGUGUAAGUGACACGUGUCCUAUUUAUUUUUUUUGUCUCGGCCCACUACCAUCGUCCUCGUGGAGCACACACUAAUUUUGAAACAAGCCGGAAAUAGAUCAUUUUCGGAUCUCUUCCACCAAAUCACACGGAUCAAGUGAUUUGAGUUUUUGCAAUUUGAUCCAACGGUUAAAAUUAUUAUAACUUUUAAAAGAAGUCUUUGUUUUUAGCGGUUUGAUCAAAUUUCAGGGGCUCAGAUCACUUUAUCCGUGGACUUUGGUGGAAGAGAUCCAGAGAGGAUCCCCUCUAAACCAAGACCACUUCGCUGUCGCGCCACCCAGGACACAUAACCAAUGAAACCCAAAUCAUCAAAACAUUAUCUAGGUAGUCUCCCAAUCCCACGGUCCAGAUUAAAUAUCAGAUGAGUGCGCACGGUAGACUCUGUUUGACUCAAUCAUUUUGUAGCCUUCCCUCAUCCGCUUCUCUCGGCACCGACGUUGACCCCAGUUUCGACGACCGGGAGUUCAUACUCAGCCAAGACUUCUUCUGGUAAAAUCCUACGCGUCAUCAAUUUUGUAAAUUUUCAAGCUUUUCGGGAUUCGAAUUCGAACAUGGAUGAAAAUUUGGAUUUUUGUUCUGGGUUUUGAUUGAUGUAGCACUCCUGAUUAUUUCACACUGGAUAAUCAGCAUAUGGUGAACGGCUGGGAUUGCAGCAAGGUACAAUGGAUGGAUUGGAUUUUACUAUUUGUGUAAAAUUGAGCAACAGAACUACGGAAGAAGCAAAAUUAUGUAUCUCAAUCUGCAGUGGCUUUACGCUGUCGUGUCAUGCCUCCUCCGUGCUUGAAUAAUCCUUAUUUGAAGGAUGCUUCAGAAAUUGGCAUUGAUCCUUUUGGCAACCAAAGAUCGAAGGGUAUGCUUGUGUUAGUUGCCAAUGAGACAUUAUUUCAAUAUUAAGACCAUGGUAGAACUCUUAAUGUUUGCCUCUUUACCUCCGCUUUAUCAAGCUUUGGAAUUUGAUCUUCUGCCUGCUAAAGAAUAUAUGUUAAAUACGGUACUGAUUGGAACUGGAAUAAGCCUAUAAGGAAAUGAGAACAGGGAGAUACCUCGCUAUCACUUGGUGAUCUAGGGCCUAAGUGCUCAGGGGAGCUUUCACUGUCAAUGGCUCUAUCUCCGAGUGAAGAUACUAUUUUCAUAGCAGGUUGUACCCUUUUACAUCUUUUUCUACGAUACUGAAACACAAACUAGAUUAAACAGAGAACAGAAAGAUGUAAAUGAGAUAAGGAAGGGAAAAACAUGUUCGAAGAGAGAACCAUUUUAGAAAUUGCUCUCAGCAUCGUUGUCUUAUCCUGAAGGCCAUAUAAAAGCUCUGCCAUUGACUGCUCAAUAGAUCCAUGCCCAAGUUCAUUAACUUCAAUAGGCACAAUCUCCAACUGAUUUUCCUCUUCUCCUUGAAUAUAGUGAAUAAACUCAGAAUCCAAAUAUUUUUCGGUUAUAGGCUUAAUUAUGUUCAACAUGUCAGACACUUGUUGAACCUUGAAGGACACGUCACUUUCGUUCUUAGAUACAUUAAUGCAAGAGGGUUAUUCUUUGCGAGUCAUGAAACGGAAGGAAAAUCUUGGCUUGCCUUUGCUUUUGAGUCAUACAACAAUUGAUUCUCGUGUUUAACAGAACACUACAGGUUGUGACAACGUACACUAUAUAAAUGAUCACCUUUACCUUUGGAAGAUUUAUUCACUUUCGAAUAAUUAGAUUUUGACGAUGAACACGACGUUUUUUCAUUCAACCGCAUGAGUGCCUCAGCUUCUUUACUCACUGCAGACCAAGUGUAUGAUUCGUCUUUUUUCUCACUUCCAAUGGAAUGAACGUCAUCCCUCUGCAACUUUUUAGCACCAAGUGUGACAGGAACUCUCGAGCGCAUGUUGUUCGAUGAUAGGAUUUUUAACGUCUAUGCAAAUAGGGUCAAAAUCACAUGAAAUACUUGCAAGAAUACAAGGAUGUUAUAGUAUAGAUGCUCAUGCAAUGUCGUUUUCCUCAAGGACUAUUUGGAUAAUUUAUGUAGAAACAAUUCCUAAUUAAAUACUUAGAAUUAAAACUUGAGAAAAGAGAGUUUGAGAGUAGGUAAUAUUAAAAACGAAUUUUAAACAAAAACUAAUAUAAUCGAAGAAAAGAGUUUUAAAUACCAAUUUAUAAAGACACUAGGGUUCCACCAUCACCUAGCAAUUCUAUGUAUUUUACCAAUUACCUAUGAUUUACACAUGCCACUUCGAAGGUUAGGUUUUCCUAAUAUAUAUUCUCCUCGUGAUAUUCAAGCAAGAACGUAUAUCUAACAUGCAAUUCGUCUGUGAUAUUCAGAUCAAAUAUGAACAUGCAAGACUCAUUAAGUUUCAUGAAAACCUUUGAAGAACCAUGCAACCCCUAAGAACGUGAUAUUCGCCUUAGAUGAAAUUACAAUUAUCAAUCACAAGAAGCAAUACUCAAUCAUCCGGUGAUAUUCCGACCGAAUUGCAUCCAAUUACUUGUCUAAACAUCCUAAUGGUGGCCAGUCAUCAAGAUAAUUAGAUAGUUUAAAACAGUGAUUAAUACUUCAAAGUGUGUAUGCAAUCAAUCAUAAGCAAUUAAAUAAAAAUUACAUAUUCAUGCUAAGGCCCAAGGCUUCGCCCUAGCAAAAGGAAUUAGUUAUGCAUAUUCAUAAUUGAAAUCAUAGAAAAUAUUAUUAAAAAUAAAAGGAAUGAAAACACCUUAAAGUAGAAAAUCUCCAAGAACCCUAGCCAAGUUCUUUGUCUCUGAAGUUGAAUAAUAAUAAGCGUCCCCAAAAACUGUAGACGGCCAAAGCCAUAUAUUUGCUCAGCCCUUACAAACCCUAAGACAUAGGUUUCUUAAUCCAACUAGGAAACUAAGAAAAAUAAUAAAAUCUCUUAAAAAAAUAAAACCCUAAUUAAACUAGGAGAAUCUGCCAAGUACUUGUCCAGCCACGUUUUAGCCUUAGAUCUCCUCCAAAUCCGGGCCAAGAUAGCUUGUUUUAAAGAUAAGGAUGUUCCGAACAUAUCUCCAGAAGGCCAUGAAACCAUCUGAGGUCAUCUUGGGCUCCAAAAACGCAAUUUAAACCCAGAAACGUCAUUUUUCAACACUGUGCAUUGCUCCUUUAUUUUAUCGCCAGAAAAUAACCGCUUGAUGGAAAAAUCCCAAUUUUUGAUACGAUCAAGCUAAGUGACUCACGAACGUCUUCCAACUGGAAUUACUCCAAUAUUCAUCCAUUUGACCACGUUUUUCUCUAGAGGAAGUUGAAAGUCCUAUAUUGAAAAUACAAUUCAAAGUAUCAAAAUUCUUCUAAAAUAUUAACCAAAAUAUACCAAGAAUAGGGUUAAAUAUAUAAUAUAAAAUUCACUUAUCAAAAUACCCCCAAACUUAGCUUUUUGCUUGUCCUCAAGCAAAAUAAAACUAGAAAACAAAAAAUAAAAACUAACAACUAGACACUUAACUAAAACUCAGCUAAAAAAAAUUCUCACUUUCAAGUUGCAAUCCAUAGAAACUGUUAAAAAUCAGAACAUUUUUUCAAAAGUUCCAACCAAUCCCACCACAGAGUCUAAACCAUUUAGAAUCAAUUAGAAAAGAAUUCACAAACUUCCUUUGGUGUAAAGUGAACCAACAUAGUUAAAGAGACUCGACCAAAACUCUUACCUCUCGUCCCUUUAUUCAUACUUCACACACUAACUUCACAUAUAUUUUUUUCUUUCUCUUCUUUUCUUUUCUGUUUUUUUUUUUUUUAGGAGUAACAGUAGUGGUCGUGCAAUGUCGGUUCCCUUAAGCUUUCUAUCCAACCCAUGUAGCGAGUUUUAGGUCAAUGACUCCCAAACCACUAGGGCUUUAGGGCACUAGGUGUAGAACACCCCUAAGGACUUAUUAACCCGAGCUGAAAAUGCUACGAAACCAACUAACCACCCUGCCUCAUGCCAAAACUCUACCGUUUGACGCGAGAAUCACUGCUGAUUAGGUAGGACUGGCCCGGUUACUAGGCAAAACCUCGGGUGAGACAAUUAUUACUUUAUAACACAUGCUAACUUUACUUUAUUUAGAACAAAAAUAAAAAUACACUUAGAUAAAAAGCAAGUGUUUCAAUCUCACUCCCCACAAACCACGUUGGUGUGAAUGUGCAAUUGUCAAAGUAUAAUUCGUGAAUUAGUGUCUAAGUAACGAUAAAUAGAAAAAACUCUACUGUGGGAUUAAUCUUUACCAUGUCCAUUUGUUCCAACGUUUAAAAUAAUCUAUGGAUAUUAGCUUAAAAACGAAAAAUUUUAACUGACACAAAAACAAAAAUCCUAAAUUUUUACUACUUUCCCACCUCCAAACUUAUUUCACAAUUGUCCUCCAGGUGUGGAAAAUAAAUAUAAACUAAAAAAAACGAAAAGCAAAACUAGAAAAGAGAAGACAAAUGUCUAGACCAAAGAACUAAAAGAAAAAGGGAAAUAUAAAUGAAACAAAGAAAUUAAAAAAAAUGAAAUACAUAAUAGAACAAAAAAAACAAAGGAAAAAAAAUCACCUGACAUAAGAAACAUUGGGCCGUGACAAAAUGAUGCACAUAGCCUCUUGAUGACCCUUUGGAUUAUAACCCAGCCCACAAACCAAAAAGCCGAAAAGAACAUUGGAUGCCUAUUUGAAAUUGGAAUGGCAUGCAGUUGGCAUGUGCAUUGGAAAAGUGGGAUUAUGCUAGUUCCCAUGUCUGAAGAAGAAAAGUCACGAGCAGUCCUCACAGUCAUUGUCAGUAAAUGAGCCUAAACGGCUCUUUUCUUUUUACCAAAUCGAGAGCCAAACGGCUCUGUAUUUCCCCAUUUCAAAACAACCCUCUCGGACAUAUACACAUAGCCACACGAUGAAAACACGUGUCAUACAUUCGUGUAAGGAACUCUUUAAAGCAACUCCACCCAUGGAGCCCUCCCCUGGCAAUCCACUAUUGAAUCCACCCUAUUGAACAGUAACUGCCUUUAAUGAAUAGUAACUGCCAUUAAGAGCAAAUCCACCGGAUUGGACUUUGCCUAGGACCCAGCACAAAAACAAGGCCAGCACCCUGUCAACCAAGUCCACCCCCUCAACUUGACUGGUACCCAGCCUGAGCUGGGCUCUGGACCAGCCCAAAAGAGACUUAGCAAGAAGCCGGGCUGUUGGCCUGGCGCGUGCGCUUCAUGAAGGCGUGGCGCGAGUGCCCGACAGGCUUUCAGAGCGCAGGCCCGCGUGACAGGCGCACUCAAUUCCCCCCUCGAGUUGGCGACAUGGCUCCUUUUCUGCCGUUGGAUUUCCAACAGCUAGUUUUCUAGACCGUUUGAUUUGCAACGGUAAAAAAAAUUAAAAUUUUUCUUUUAAAAUAGACCGUCAGAUCAAAGAUCAACGGUCCACGUUUUUUUUCACAAAAAGUAAAUAAAAAAAAGGCCCAAUGGUCAGAAAUAUGACCGUUGGCCACGUGGCAACUCCCUGGCUCUUGGAUUUGAAUAUUUUUCAAAUCCAACGAUCCAGAUUAAUUAACUAUAUUAAAAUUCAUUAAAAAAUAUUAAAAAAUAAAGAAAAAUUAUUAAAAAAUACAGAAAAUUUUGAAAAAUGUUAAUUUUUUUCCUAUAAAUAUCUAACCCUCAUCUUCCACCUUUACACCACAUUUCAAUAUUUUCUACACUUUCUAUACUAUCUACAUUUCAAUAUUUUCUACACUUUAAGAGAAAAAAAUGUCUUCGUAGAAGCUCAUUGAAGAUAUUACGUUGUGUGAAUGUUGGGUUCACACUACUCAUGACCCGAUUACGGGUAAUGAGAUGGAUAAGCGAGAAAUGUGGAGUAAAAUUACGAAAGCGUUUUGCAAUGUACAUGGACAAAACGCCAAAACUAGUCAAGGUCUUCAAGGUCGUUGGAAAAUGCGCUGGGUGUCCGGAGGUACUCAUUGGUGUAAAGGGCUUCAAUUGCAGAGCAAAACCGCAUCAGGGACUCCAGAACAUUUGUUUUUCCCAUCCUCGCGAUCUCAUCCACUUGAUCUGUAGAUGCUCCAUAUGCAAGCAUUCGCAAGGAUGUCGUAAUUUUUUGCUCGGGAAUAAGACCUAGAACAUGAAAAGCAUCCUCUUUUUGCACAAAGUAUGGAUCAUGGUUGCAAAUAUCACUCAUGAUUUUGUUGAACAAAUUUCGUUGCAAUCUAAAACGACGUCUGAAAAUAUGAUCAGGGAAUAUGCUACUGGGAAUAAAAUAAUCUUCCAAUAGAUUUUUACCUCGUUUUUCCCUUUUUCUAUCGAGGUUUGCAACACGUCUUGGUUUGGCUAUCUAACCCAUGGCUUCAAUGACACGGCGGGAAUGUGAGGCCUUCUGCCUUUUAUGGUGAUCAUCCUUAUCCUCCUCCAUGAAGAAAGCCUCAUCUCCACCUCCACCUUCCUCGAGAUUGGCCAAUUCUGCCUGUUGUGCCAACAACCUUUGUUGUUGCUCCUGCAACUGUUUAUACACCCUUCUUGAAGAAGACAUUGUCAUAAGAACUCAAGAUUUGAAAACGAUGAACAAGGAUUCUGAGCUAAAAAGAAAGAUUGAGCUUGGUGUGAGGAUAUGUAGGGAUGUAGGGUUUAUAUGGACAACAAAAGAAAGGAUGAGGUUCUGGACAAUGCCAUGUGGCACUACGUGAUUGGUUGAAAAUCUUAUCGAAAUCUUGGCUAAAUUAUUGUAAACCGGAAGUGACACGUGGCGUGUCGGGAUUGGUCGAAAAUAUUAUCGGAAAUCUAUCCACAAAAUAGUACGUUCGAAUAAUGACACGUGGCAUGACGGAUUGGUUGAAAAUCUUAUCGAAAUCUUGGCUAAAUUAUUGUAAAACGGAAGUGACACGUGGCGUGUCGGGAUUGGUUGAAAAUCUUAGCGGAAAUCUAUUCACAAAAUAGUACGUUCAGAUAAUGACACGUGGCGUGACGAGAUUGGUUAAAAAUCCUAUCCGAAAUUAAAACUAUUUUAUUUUUUUAUUCUUUUAGAAAAAAUUUUAAAAUAUUUUAAAUGGGCUGGGUGCCAGCGCAUUUUGUAGGGAUGGAGAUCGUUUGUGCCAGCGCAUUUUUUUACUAGGUGCCAGUGUAUUUUUUUAGGGGUGGAGAUGUCUUGGCUUAUUACUGUUCAUUGGAGUCUGUUACUGUUCACUUGAGUGGAUAAAUGCGGUGGGUGCUGGUUCAAAGUCCUUAGGGGUCGACUUACUCUAAUGAACAAUAAUUGCCAUUUGCAUCUCCACCCUUGGAGCCCUUCCCCCUAGCAAAAGGCAAUAAAAUAUUAGUUUUUUUUCUUUGUUUAAAUAAUACAAAAUAAAAUUAUUUGUAAUUUCGGAUAAGAUUUUUUAAAUCGUUCUCGUUGCACCACGUGUCAUUUUAUAAAAAAAACAAUUAUUUAGCGAUGGAUUUCGAUAAGAUUUUUAUCCAAUGUCAUCGUGCCACGUGUCAUUAUCUUUUGAGAAUCUUUGACAAUAGAUUUCGAUCAGAUUUUAACUCGUUCAAAAUUGCGCCACGUGGCAUUAUCCGAAAAGAUAAUUAUUGGAGAUCGAUUUCGAUAAGAUUUUUAUCCAAUACGAUCGUACCACGUGUCAUUAUCUUUUCAGAAUAUUUGAGGAUAGAUUUCGAUCAGAUUUUUAACGAAUGAUGGCAUGCCACGUGGCCUUAUCUACAAUCCAAUCAUUUCUGAAUCGUCCAUAUAAUCCACCAUUCAUCCUCACAAAUCUCACACCAAUUUUCUCAACAUCUCUAUCUCAUUAUUCAUAGUCUCUGCUUCUUCUUCACCAUCCAUCCUUACAAUGUCUUCUUCUUCAUCAAGGAUGAUGUGGGAAAUCGAUCAGCAAGAGGAAGAAUUGUUUAACCAAUCUGAAGGAAUGUUCAACCUUCAGAUAGCUAAAAAUGAGAUGGAAGAGGAUGAGGAGCGUAAAAUGAGAGAUGACGAAACAAGAAUGGCCAGAGCCUCACAUUCCCGUCGAGUCAUCCAGACUGUUACUCAGAUAUACAGGCUCAACCGUUCAAGAAACCUUGAUAGAAGCAGGCAACGAUGGGGUGAAGAGCUGUUGGACGAUUACUUUAUCCAUAACAGUGCAUUUCCUGAUACGUACUUCAGACGUCGUUUUAGAAUGGAACGACAUUUGUUCAACAGAAUCAUGACUGAUGUUUGCAACCAUGAUUCUUACUUUGUGCAAAAGAAGGAUGCUUGUGGUGUUAUGGGUCUCUUGCCUCAGCAAAAAAUCACUGCUGCGUUGCAGAUGCUUGCGUAUGGAGCAUCUGCAGACCAAGUGGAUGAGAUAACGAGGAUGGGGAAAUCAACCAUUCUUGAGACCCUGAUGAGGUUUUGCGGAGCAGUCGAAUCUUUAUACACCGCAGAGUACCUCCGAAAACCUUCUCACAUGGACUUGCAAAGGCUUCUGAAGAAAAGCGAGAUGCGAGGUUUUCCUAGGAUGAUAGGAAACAUCGAUUGUAUGCACUGGACGUGGAAAAAUUGUCCAAGUGCAUGGCAAGGCGCAUAUGGGGACAGGAAAAGAGCAAAAUCUAUCAUUUUGAAGGCAAUGGCAUCUUUUGAUACAUGGAUAUGGCACACCUUUUUCGGGGUUCCAGGGGCUCAAAAUGAUCUUAACAUCCUUGCCCAAUCCCCAGUGUUCAACGACGUCCUGCAAGGAUCAUCUUGUCUUGUUUUGCUAGGACCAUCUUAUCUUGAUCUCGCUUCUUUUACACGCCUCAUUCGCACCACAUCCGCUUUCUCCGACUGCCAAAAAUAUUUAGAAUUUGGAGACAUCCCUUCUAAAGGCGUGUUCAUAAUGUCACGAUCUCGUUGUGCAAUUCUUUCUUCUCUAAGCAACUCCAUUUCUUGCCUAAGUAGCUCUCUUUCCCUAUGUUCAGCUUGAAAUGCUUGUUGAAUAGCUGCAACUUUUGCCUCAUCUCUAGCCUUUUCAGCCUCAUAUUUCGCCAAUUCCUGCGCCAAUGUCAAUUCACCUUGACGAGUAAGUUCUUGCAUGUACUUUCCAUAAUCAUUCUUGGACGCACUCCCUUUUCUUUUUAAAGCCUUCUUACCUUGAGGCCUAAUUGGAUAACGGGUCAACCCCAACGCUUGUUCAGGAAUGGGCGUUUCAGGCACUUCUUCUCCAUCUUCUUCAUCAACCUGGGUGCCAUGAUCGGGUGUAGAGUGUGGAAGGGUGCUGUGUAGAGGGGUGAUGUUCAUGCAUACUUCUAGACCAACAGGCACAACUUUGAAUUUAGGACAAUCUUUAAUAAUAUUCCAACAUUCCCACCGGUGGAAUGAUUUGUUUCUUGAUUUGAUUUUGGCAGCAUACCAUGCUUGUGCUUGAAGUUGCUACAAAUAAAUAAUAAUGAAAUUAUUAGGUAACAAAUAAUAAUAAUGAAAUUAUUAGGUAAAUAAAUAAUACAGACAAAUAACAACAAUGAAAUUAUUAGGUAACAAAUAAAUAAUACAAACAAAUAAUAAUAAUGAAAUUAGGUCACAAAUAAAUAAUGCAAACAAAUAAUAAUAAUGAAAUUAGGUAACAAAUAAAUAAAACAAACCCUGCAAUGUGAGUUAGACCAAUUCGCCAAGGCAGUGUGCCAGCUUAUUUGCACCGCAUUCGAAUCCAAUCCUCUCUCUGCAGAUCAGAAUUGUUUAGAAUAGAAUAUUGUCCUAUAAAAAAGAAAAAUGAUUAUAGUUACUUUUAUUUUGCUUUUAUAGUAGAAACUUGUCUUGUUGACACAACGAAAAUUGUAAGAAAAUGGAUCACGAAUGGUCUCGCUUGAAAGAACUCUGGAAUUCCAGAAGUUGUGAGAGAAACUCUUGUUUCUAAAUUUUGUAUUGAUUCAAAAGCAGUUGUCUAUUACAAAGCAAAAGAACAUAUUAUAAAUACUUGUUUCAAUAAAAUGAAAAGACAAGCAACAAUAAAACCUCAUUGAUUAGGAAAUACCCUCUAAAUGACUCGGAACGUUUCUAAACUGUUCGCAUCAUCAAGCAAUUUCUUUAUUCCUACGUUAGUCUCUUCUCCUUGAAAAGAACUCGUCCCCAAGUGAUCAGGAUACAACGAAACAUCAACAAGAUGGAAAUGAUGCAGAUCAGCAACAUUGAAAGUGCGAGAAAUCACCAUUGAUGCCGGCAAAUCCACCACAUAGGCGUUGUCAUUGAUUUUGUGCACAAUCUUUGAGCGUCGAUGUUUAUCAGUAGCAGCCUCGUUUUUGGAAUUCGUUUGAGCAAGUUUCUCGGCAACUUCGUUCUUGGCUGCUUGAACUCUUUCAGCCAUAUGUUCAGCUACAACAUUCAUUCAUGGGCCACGAGGAAGCCUUAUAAGAUCCACCACAUGAUGGGGAUUUAAAGUAUAGACAAUCGAAAAUGGUGACUUGCCGGUUGAGGUAUGCACACCACUAUUGUAAGCAAAUUCGACUUGAGCAAGCACCAAAUCACAUUGCUUGGGUUUAUCUUCACAGACACAACGAAUCAUAUUACCCAACGUCCUAUUGGUCACUUUAGUUUGUCCAUCCGUUUGAGGUUGAGCAGUGCUACUCCGAUUCAAUGUUGUUUCAAAUAUCUUCCACAAAGUCAUCCAAAAGUAACUAAGAAACUUAGAAUCCUGAUCAGAAGUAAUGGACUGAGGAACCACAUAAAGGCGUACCACCUCUCAAAGAACAAGUGAGCAAUGUGAGAUACAUCAGAUGUCUUACGAUAAGCAGCAAAGUGUGUCAUUUUUAAGUACCGGUCAACCACCACAAAUACAAAAUCGACUCCACGCUGGGUUCGAGGUAGACCUAACACGAAAUCCAUAGAUAAAUCCAACCAAAUAUCAGUAGGGACAGGUAAGGGCAUGUACAAACCCGUGUUUUGGGACUAACCUUUAGAGGAUUGACAAACAAAGCCCUUGCUAACUAUGUUACCAACAUCAUUUUUGAGUUGUGGCCAGUAAUAUGGUUUUAUCACACCCAAGAUGACCGCUUAAACCACCAUCAUGCAGGUUUCUAAUGAGCUUCUCCCGCAAUGAACAACGUGGAAUGCACAAGUUAUGCCCCUUGAAAAGAAACACAUCGGUAAUUUGAAAGUUAGAAGGAGGAUGGGAGCGGAGACACUUUGCCCAUAUGUCUUUAAAGUCGUCAUCCCCCUCAUAAAGCUCAUUCAAGAAAUCAAAACCCACAACCUCCUGACUCAAAGUCACCAAUAAUUAGGCUCUCCUGCUCAACGAUCGGCUAUGCGAUUAAGCGUACUGGAUUAGUGCUUGAUGACAAAAGAAAAUUUUUGGAGAUAAGUCACCUAUCGCAUAUAUAUCAUGUCAACACUUUUCUGAUUAUUGACCCACUUCAGUUCUAGGGUCGGUUUAUAGGACAAAUUCAUUUUGAACAAGUUAAUGCUCCCAUUAGCGUAAAGCACGAAUGACAGCAUAAAACUCUUGAACAUAUGUACUCCAUUUUUGCCUCGCUUCGCUAAGCUUCUCGCUGAAAAAUGCAAAGGGUUGUUUUUCUUGAGAUAAAACAACUUCAAUACCCACUCCGCUUGCAUCGUAUUCAACUUCAAAAACCUUAUCAAAGUUAGGUAAGUUGAGGACAAAAGCAGAGCAUAGCUUUUGUUUAAUUAAAGCAAAGCUCAUGUCCUGUUUAUCACCCCAAAUAAAGUUACCAUUCUUCAAACAUUCUGUCAUUGGCGCCACAAUGGUGCUAAAGUUCCUUAUAAACCAUCAAUAAAACGUUGCAAGGCCAUGUAAGCUUCGCAAUUCAGAUGCAUUUUUGGGAGCUGGCCAAUCUCAAAUGGCUCUCACCUUCUCUUCGUCUACAUGGAUGCCAUCCGAACUUAUGACAUACCUAAGGGUAGUAGAUCGGUGAAGAAACUACACUUCUUGAAUUUAAUGUACAGUUCGUUUUCCUAAAAUAUGUGAAGUACUUGUCUCAAAUGCUCUAAAUGGUCUUGCUCAGAUUUGCUAUAAAUUAGUAAAUUAGUAUAUCAUCAAAGUAUACAACAACAAAUAAUCCGACAAAUGGACGAAGCACCUGGUUCAUUAGUCGUAUGAAUGUGCUAGGAGCAUUGAACAGACCGAACGACAUCACCAACCAUUCAUAUAAGCCAUCUUAACUCUUAAAUGUUGUCUUUCAUUCGUCUCCUGGACGGAUUCGAAUUUGAUGAUACCUGUUUCGUAAAUCGAUCUUAGAAAAUAUUAUGGAAUCGACUAAUUCGUCCAACAUGUCGUCUAAAUGGGGAAUGGGAAAACGAUAUUUGAUAGUGAUCUUGUUGAUAACUCAGCUAUGAACACACAUCCUUCAUGUCUUGUCUUGUCUUUCUUGGGCACAAGAAGAACCGACACUAUACAAAGGUUAAGGCUUUCACUAAUGAAGCAUUUUUUUAACAACUCAUCAAUUUUCUCCCGUAGAAUCUCAAUCUCUUUCGGACACAUCCUGUAGUGUGGCAGAUUUGGCAAGCUUGCCCUAGGAAUGAAGUCGAUUUGAUGUUGUAUAUUCCGCAUGAGAGGUAACUCAUUCAAAUAUCGUCACUCACCAAAUCCUCAAAGUCUCAUCGGAUUGCUUGAACCUUGUUCGAAAUCUGCAACUUUCGGUCUUGUGCCAUUAAGAGGCCUUUCAUGACCAAAGCACAAACUACCUUGGUGUCUUUUGCUUCGGAUGUAACAUCGUGCUCAGAUGUGAUCAAGGUGAGGAACUUAUUCGGGUUAUCAACUUUUAUGACAACAUUAGUUGAUGUUCCAUUAGGGAACAUGGUGAUGCGAUGUUAUUCCCAAGUGAACUUAUAGACAUUGCCGCGACCCUUGUGCAUGACAUAUCUAUCCUAUAGCCAUGGUCUACCAAGCAAUACAGGAGUCAUGUCCAUGUCAACUACAUCACACACAGCUUCCUCCUUGUAAAACUUCCCAAUUGAGAUGGGAACCUUACAAGUUUCAAUCACCUUUUCCGUCGAGCCCUUCUUAAUCCACCCUACCAAGUAUGGGUUCAAAUUUUUCUCAGUUUGAAGGUGAAAGUGCUCCACGACCUUUCUAGCAACGAAGUUUUCACAACUACCUCCGUCUGUUACCAACUGACAAACUUUGUCCCGAAUGCACUUAGAGCGAAAGAUUUGAUGAUGUUGAUUGUCAUCGCUGGGUUUGGAAUAAAUCACUCGCUGUAAAACUAACGCUAACUCAUCUCCUUCUUCCUCAGACACAUCCUCGUCACAUUCGUCCUCUACUUCUUCAUAUUCACCUCAUUUUACUAAAUUCACUAUCUUGCCAACCCAGCAGGUGCUUGUGGGGUACCCAUGGCUGCCACAUUUGUAACACAUGUUUCCGCGAGGCAUGGUAUACGGAUUAGCCUGCUUGCGGAAUUAGUUGUUUUGAAAACGAGUGGUGUUAUGAGGACUAUUUUUCACUCCUGGAUGAUCAACUUUAUUUUCAACCCUUUUUUCUGGACCCUUGGAAACCUGUUGCUACUGCACCAUUUCUUUAUUUCUUGGGAAAUUGCUUAAAGAUUAAAAUGACUCUCCCCACUGCUUUCUAAAAUCAUAGCUCUGGUUGCUGCGAUUUUUCUUUAGCAAUUAUGCGCUAAUAGCCAACUCUUCUGUUUGAGAGGGAGUUAACACGUUGUAACCCAAUUUUGUCCCAAAUGGAAGGUUUUAAUCCCAACAAAUACCGUACAGUUUGUUGUGCAAGGGACUCAGUAAGACGAUUUCUUGCAGCAAGGUUGAAAAACUCAUGCGAAUACUCCUGCACAAUUCGACUUCCUUGCACACAGUCGUGGUAUUUUUCAAACAACACUUGCUUGUAAUUCUAGGGAAGGGAACGUGCCCAAAGCAUGCUCUGCAUUUUACUUUAAGUUUGGACACGAUUCUUUCCUUGCCACACCCUGGACUCUUGCUACUCAUCUAACCAAACGGCAGCGCUUCCCUUUAGCCUUCAUGCCACAACUUUAACUUGUCUCGCUUCAGCUAUCUCCGCAUAUUCAAAGAACUUCUCGCACUCCACAAGCCAAUCUAAAAACUCUUCAAUCGAUAAGUUUCCAUUGAAAGUCGAAAUUUCGAUUUUUUUUUCUUCUCGUGGAUUUUCAGGGAUGGCAGGGAUAACGUCAUCUUCAGAAUUUGAAUCACCGUUGGGGAAAACUCUGAGUUGCUAAGGUGCUACAACCAGUUCGAGCAUAAACAACAUGUUGAGCGCGACCUACGGCCAGGCCUGCAAUCAUCUCUCUAAUUUCAGCGAGAGAAUUUUGCAUUGUAUGAUUGAUGCGACACUCCAUAGCCACAAGUUAUCAACUCACGUAUGUGAAACUUGUGAUAUUAGGGUUGGUUAUUGCUUCGUCUUCAGCCAUUAAAUCGGAAAACCGGGCUCGAUGCCAACUGACACAGCAGAAGUUGUAAGAAAAGGAUCACGAAAGGUCUUCCUUGAAAGAACUCUGGAAUUCCAUAAGUUGUGAGAGAAACUCUCGUUUCUGAAUUUUGUACUAAUUCAAAAGUUUUCUAUUACAAAGCAAACGAACAGAUUAUAAAUACUUGUUUCAAGAAAAUGAAAAGACAAGCAACAAUAAAUCUUCAUUGAUUAGGAAAGACCCUAUAAACGACUCUUAAUGUUUCUAAACUGUUCGCAUCAUCAAGCAGUUUCUUUAUUCCUACGUCAGUUGCAGGAAGAGAGGGUGUAUUAAUCAUAAUUCUAUUCCUAAACAUGAGGAAUUACCUAUUUUGUCACGUCUAGAAGUGCUGAAAGGUGCGUGUUUUUUCAAAAAUGGCUACUAGGCUUGAACUGGCAUAGGCUCUAUUGAGCAACAUAGUGAUGUUUGUUUAAUUCUUUCGGAUGCAUGUUCUAAUGCGUAUGCCUGCAGCUUGGCGGAUGAAGUGAGCUCUAACAAAGAGGUAGUAUGCAUUCAGAUAUAUAGAUAUCUUAUUUUUGGUGUUUUUGUGCUAAUGCAAGGAGUAAUGUGCUUGUUUGGCAGAAUGGAUCUCCUAGGUUCUUGAAUUUUCAGUGGUUGGCUGCAAGCAACGUGGAGAUAAGGCCAUGAACCGCGACAGAGUGAUGGAGAUAGAGAUUUGUUGUCUGGGUAAAUAAAUCUGGAUAUGACAUGUACGCUAGAGAUGAGAUGGCCUUCUUGUUGGGUCACAGUGGUGUGAAAGAAAUGAAUAAUCUGAAAGGCAGAGAGAAAGAAAGGGGAAAGUGAAGUGGAAUGGUUUAGAAUUUCACUUGUUUGAUAUUUCAUUCUAGCGCUAUAAUUUCCCACUAUGCAAUCUUUGUAAAAUAUCUAAAAAGUUUAUGUGACGUAAAUGUUGUUUGUCCUGUGUUUCAAGAAUACGUGAUGAGUCUACUCGCCACUAGCUUGUUUUUAAGUUAGAUAUCUAUCAGAGUAGAUAUGUGUGACACAAAUGAAUAAUUCCUCACGGAUUAUCAUAGUAUGUGACAAAUUUUUAAGCGUCACAAUCAAUUUUGUCACCUAAUCUCUGUUUUCUUGUAGUGAAGGUAUGGACCCAAAUAUAUAGAAAAUUCACUUUACGACAUAAAGCAAUGCCUCAAAAGAGAAGGAAAGUGUGUCGUGUAAAUUGUCAAGUACGACACACAACGCUUAAGCCGUAAAUAUUUUUAAUUAACAACUUGCACAGAAGUGAUACCGUGAAUGCUAGAUUAUGUGCAAGUAUUACGACAUGAACUUUACGAAUGUCGUGAAUAAUAUCAUUUAAGGCAUGCCAGUACUAUACGCCGCAUAUUUCAAGUCGUAAAAUACCCAAACUGUUGUAGUGAAUCAAUUAUCAUUCUCCAAAUCAAUUUCAAAGAAUAGAAAUAAUCAAAGUGGUUCCUCCUCCAUCUAUUAAAUCCUCCAUUGCUAAGUCCAUAUUUUCCCAAUUCAUGAGCCACCACGUUAUAUUUUCUUUUUAAAUCCUCCAUUACUAAGUCCAUCCAUGUCUUUAGGUGUAUAUAAAUAAUAUAAAGUAUAAAUAUACAUGUUCUCAAUCAAUAAUAUAACACAUGGAUUAAUAAUAUUAUUUGAACAAUCAUCGGGAUUCUAGUACAAUCAGUAAUAUAUUGCACUAGAAAGAGAACAUGUAAGAGGGUAGACCAUAAAAAGAAGGAAGAAAAACUUGUAGACAAAAUUCAUAGCAUGAACAACCAAUUGCUACUUUACGAAACAAACGUGUCAUAAUACAUUAGCAAUGGAGCAUUGCAUAUAAGCGUAUGUAUAUAUUACAAUUGCACUCUACCUCGUGGCCGGAAGAGCUCUCGGUCACCUGAUAACAUUUUUAAUUUGUAAGAACUCAAACCUAAUUCCAGAAUUCUUGAUUUAUUUAUUUAUUUGAUGUAGCUAGCUAGCUAGCUAGUAAUUAAUCACCUUAAAUAGCUUGUCUCAAGCAUGUACUAAAAUUUGUAUCCACUUUCUUUUGCUCUAAAGUUCAUAAGUCAUGCCCACUUUCAACAGCCGCUUGUGAGGAAUAUCAAACACUUUGUCACUCUGCCUCAAAUUUCUCUUCAAGAAAUUGUAAGCGUAAUCGAUCACAAUUCUUUUCGCUAUGCCAGCUCCUUUGGCAGCCGUCACUUCAUUUUCCCCAAUCAAAUGAACAACUCCCCGCCUCCAUGCUUUGUCUAUUGCCUCAAUCUCUCUGUCCAACAAAUCUUGUUGCUUAUCAUGAUCAUCAACUUGCUGCUUCAAAUCCUCCUUUCCUUUCUCUCCACCGUUAGCCAAAGUACUGUCUUCGAAUUCUUCCUCGAUCUCCAACUUGGUAUCCCCAUUAACGCUACUGUGCAUAAUAUUUGUUUGAGAUAUCCAAAAAUUAUCCUUUAUGAACUCUUUCAACUUCUCCACCAACAAUCCUUCGAAGGGUUCGUUCUCAUUGCGAACAUCGGUGUACCCAUAUCUAGCAACGCAUCGGAACACAUUCAGAUCCUUAGGCUCUACUUGCCGAAAAAGAAAGCGCUCUUCCAAUGGAACCUUGCUUAUAGGCAACGAUUUGAUUGAGACAAAAACAAGGACGGAGUGCAAUGCAGGCACAUUAGCAGCGUAAUGAUUGAAGAUUGGCGGAAUGCCUUGAACAAGUUCCGAAUAGAACAUGGCGAGGCCAGGCAUACGAGAAAAGUUUGCAUUAACAGCAAUUUCCUUGAGUCGUUCGGGAGAAAUUUUGUGUUCAAGCUCGUAAUAGUACUUUCUUCGAUGCACAUCAUUCCACACAAACAUUACAAACAUCAACAAUGUAGCAAACGCGAGGGGAAGAUAUCCGCCCUGAUCAAAUUUGUAGAGCACUGAACUUAGAUAUAGAAGCUCUACACUUCCAAUAACAAGAACAUAUGAGAUGACGAGGAAUAUGUUGGUCUUCCAUAUCAUGAUCAUGAUUAGCACUAGGAAGGAUGAUGUAAGCGUCAUUACAAACACCACUGCUAUACCUGUACAUAUAUAUACGUAUGACAAUUAGACAAAGUCAUUCAUUAUUAGUUUAAUGUGCACAUAAAUAUUUUCCUAUCAAACUGAAUGUGGAUCAUGCAUUAAUUCGAUUAUUUUUUUUAAUGUGAGACGGUGACUCAAUUUUUGGCAACAUAAGCAUUUGUUUGAUGAUAAAAUUAAGUUUGUAAAGAGAACAUUACCAUAUGCAUUGCCAAUCUUUGCAGUGCUUCGAAACCCUAAAGUGACUCCAACACAAGCUAACAUGAGAAGGUAGUUCACUUCCGGAAUAUAAACUUGUCCGGCAUACUUGGUUGAUGUGUGCACGAUUUUCACACGAGGGAAACAUCCUAAUGAUUGUGAUUGUUGGAUUAUAGAGAAAGUCCCUGAAAUCAUAGCUUGACUAGCUAUGAUCGAUGCCAUUACAGCCACUAUAAACACAGGCCAAUACAAAGGCUCUGCAUGCAUUCAGCACAAUUAGUACACAAUUAAAAAAUUAAGCAACCACCUAAGUUAGUUAUUAACUUAUUAUAUAUGGUUGUUAAUGUUGAGGUAUAUAUAUUUGAUACUUAGCUCGUAAAAGGUUAUAUUAAUAUUUUAUAUAUACUUACUUGGUAUUGACUUGUAGAAGGUAUCUGCAACAAGAAGAUGGUGCUUGCGAAGAAAAGAGGCUUGUCCAGUGUAUGCCAGUAUGAGAGCUGGAUAAGUAACUGUGCACAUACUUAUUUGAAUGGAUCGUACUGUGAAGUGUCCCACGUCAGCAAAUAAAGCUUCAGUUCCUGCAAAUGAAGAUUGAGACAUUAAACGGUUCAGAUUAUGAAAUUUGUAUGGUAAAGGUACAUUAUAUAUUAUCUAUUUAUGAAAGAAAUUAACACUUAACUAAUAAAUAGUUAGGGGUGUAGAUAGGAAUUUUAUAGAAUUUUAAAAGAAUUAUAAAUUCAUGGGGUUUUAAUGGACUUCUACAUAUUUCAUGUGAAUUCUCUUAAAAUCUAAAGUGGUGAGAGACUGGAUUUUUUAAAGGUCUAAAAUACAUUAUGGAAACCCUCUAAGCCCAUGAAAACACCUUUUAAAAAUUCUUUAAAAUCAAAUCAUGAUACUUCUAUAAAAAAAUUCAAAAUCUUGAUUACACCAGGAUUUAAUCUAUGAAGUACGAACUUGUAAAACCUCUUUAAAAAUGCUAAUUGAAUAACGUUAGAAGUUUUAUAAAUUCAUUUAAAAUCCUGAAUGAAUAUCAUUGAAUUUUUUAACUCUUUCCAAAUCCUUUAUAUGCUUCUAUUUAGAAAUUAAAAUUUUAUGCUAUUUUGCAUGAAAUUAAUUGUAAACCUGUUAUGGCUAAGACAAUGCCACCAAGAGAAAUCCAAGCGUCUUUUUUGUUCCUCCUGAAGUAAUCUACAAUGUAUUGUGGAUUUAGAGCCUUGACCACCGUCGGAUCAAACUUGAUGAAGUUGUAGACGCCAAUUCCACCAAUCAUGGUAAACCAAAUGCAAAUAAUUGGUGCAAAACUGUAGCCUACUUUAUCAGUUCCAAAUCUUUGAAUCAUGAAUAGGGCAAUCAAGAUGACUACUGAUAUCAAAACAACCCGACCUGUGCACACAGAUUAAAUUAAAAAUAUUUAGCCAAAAAUAUUUAAAUUUAAAUUACUUUUCACUAUCCGUUUUAUAGAAUGAGGAUCCUUUCCGGAUCAUUUUUGUGAGGAUCUCAAUGAUCUUUUAAUUUUGUCCAUUCAUCGUUUUUGUGAUCAAUUUUAAAUAAAUAAAUUUAAAAUAUUUUUUUACCACUCAUUGUACGAUAAAUCUAAGUAUCCGGAGAGGAUCUUCAUUCUGUUUUAUAUACCACACACAAAUAAUAUCUGUAUGAAUACCUUCUGUCAUUGCAGAUGUGGCUUCUUUUAUUCCUCCAACAGCCGACAGAACUGCCAUCAAAUUGGAACAAAAACAAUUUUAAUAUUCAAGUCAAAAGAAAUUAAGCACGUAAUCAUGUGAGAGUAGGAGACGCAACUUUGAUUUUGUCUUAUAUUGCAAAAUUACUCAACUUUCCAAUACUUCCCGUGGUAGUUUUACGCAUGUGCAAUAAGUGUCUUUGCACAUGACCUUCAAUCCUCAAGGGCUUCUUAAAGAUGAUAUCUUGUACAUUGUAUUGAUUUGGUUUGUUGACAAAAAGACUUCAUUUUUGGGAAAUUUUCUAGGUUCUGCUUUUUAUUUUAACUUAUGCUUGUGAAUAAGAUAAUAUGGACUUCAUACGCAUGAGAGGAAUCACUUUUAUUUUUUAGUUUAGUUUUGUCGGUUUUGUUCUAAAUUUUAUUUUUAUUUAUUAUUUCAUGAUUUAUUUGAGUUAUAAAGCAAGUAAUAUAACUCUAUUUAGAGCCCUUAUUAAUACAACUAUAUACAUAUAAAUUAGCUGUGUAGCAAGAGUUUUGUACAACCGCCCAUUUACUAUCUUUUGUAAAAGGCCCCUAAAAUCUGAUAGUCAAUCAUGUACUUGUCCAGUUAGUCAGUUACACUAAUGCACAUGCAAGUUGAGAGAUUCUUGUUAAACUUUAGAGACGGUUUUAGAAUCGAUAUUGUUUAUGACUUAAUCAUCUGUUUAAUAAGUUUUAUAUUAAAAGUCUCAAUACAAUUAAUAGUGAAACUAUUCAAUAUAUAAAGAAUUUAACUUCAUUAAAUUUUCGAACCGAGACAUACUUAAAAAAUUCCUACAUAUAAUCAGAAAUAUAUUCCUUUCAUCAUGCAACCAUGUCAAAUGAGGAGAUAUAUGGAUCAAUACUUUUUUUGUUCUUGUAUUAAAGAUUUGACAAACCUGACAUGCAAGGAGUGAGGACACCAUCACCAAUGACCAUUGAAGUACCAAGCAUGGUGGCGAAUAGUAGAAAGACUUUGGCAAAUGGGCUGUUCUCCAAUGAAGAUUUAAGCCUUGAUGCCCUCUUUACACUUUUGGUAGGCAAGUCAAGCUGAAAAUUUGAAACAUCACGAUCCUCUGCUUGUUGGCUCGGAGUCAAACCAACCUUGGCAUAUCGACACAGCAAAGAGUAUAGUGCGAACGUCCCUCCUGCAAAAAAUAAUAUUAUUUGAAUAAUAGAGGAUUCAAACUAAAAUAUGAUUAAAAAAUCAAAUAAAGUUUUCAUGAAUAAAAGAGGAUUCAAACUUUAGUGAAAAAAUAAAAUGUUUUCUCUAUGCAAUUUGACUAAACUUCUACUUGCUUACGAGUUUUCCCUUGUAAAUGUCUUCUUUUAGAUAUUUAAAGGAAUACUAUAAUUUUUUUUAAUAAAAAAGACCAUGAUUGAAUUGGCAAUUUAGAAAAACCUAUCAUUAUGCGUGUUAAAAAUUAAUAAUUUUGUUAGACUACACUACAUAAGCUUCUCCCUGGUUCGUACCUCAAAGUCGUAUUAAAAUCAAACUAGAUAUCUUUUUUUUCUUUCUUUUGGUCCUUUUACAUGUCAGAAAAAUGACACAGCGAAACAUCAAAGGUUAAGAAGUUUGACAAAUUAACCUUGGCAAUCAAAAUUUUCAAACUAACAAGGUAUGAGUCUAAAGUAUAUGCUGAUGGAGAAGUUUUGCAGUUUGUCCGGAACAAGUGAUGGUACACCACAUAUCAUUAUAUAAGUGGAGAGAUUUUAUUUUUUAAAUAUUCCUCCACUUGUAUGAUUACAUCUAAUGUACCAUUCUUUGUUCCUAAAAAACUAAAAAAUCUCUCAAGCUGAUGAGACACCGAAAGCUAAAGGACCCUUUUUAUAUUUAUUUAGUUUCUAUGAAGAGUUGAGAACAUCGAGUGCAAGAAUAUAUAGUUAAAUACAAAGGAUUUAAUAAGUGAUAUUGUUUUGUCUGUAAUUAUACAGAUCUAGGAGAUGUAAGGAAUCUUACCAUCGCCGUUAUCAUUGGCCCGUAAGACGAUUAAAACGUACUUAAUCAAAGGGAUUAAGGUGAGUGUGUAAAUGAUCAAAGAAAGAACACCCAAAAUGUCAUCGCCAUGGUUGAUGCCUUUGGUGAAGGUGCUCGCAUACACAUAGAGAGGUGAUGUACCAAUGUCCCCAUAAACUAUUCCAAUGCUCUGAAAUGCCAAGUGCAUUAUCACCGACCAGUCCGCACCCUAAAAAAGUUCCAAAAGAAAAUAAAUUUAGAAUAAGUUCAACAACAACAACAACGAAACUCUAUUCCAUUAAGUGGAUUGGCUUUAUGAAUUUUAUAACGCCGCUGCGCUCAGUUUUGCGCUAAGUCUUCCAUUAGUUUUAAGUACUCCAUAUCUUUUCUUAAGAUCUCUUUCAAAAUCUUUCUGUCUCUUCAUCUAUCAAUUUUGCCCUGAACUUCCGUCUAAUAGUCACAUCUUCUAGUCAGAGCAUUUAUAGGUCUUUAGUUCACGUGUCCAAACCACUUUAACCAAUUUUCUCUCAUCUUAUUUCCAAUUGCGACCACUCUUACUUUACCUCAAACAUCCUCGUUCUUACUCUUAUCUUUUCUUGUGUGCGCACACCUCCAACGAAGCAUUCUCAUCUCUGCUACACUCAUUUUUUGCAUGUGUUGAUUUUUGAUCUCCCAACAUUCCGUGCCAUAAAGCAUUGAUGGAAUUAUUGUCGUCCUAUAAAAUUUUCCCUUAAGUUUUAGUGGCAUACAAUAUCACACGACACACUCGAUGCACUCGUCCACUUUAUCCUCUAGCUUGUAUUCUAUAAUUGAGUUCUCUAUCUAAUUCUCAAUAAAAUCAUGUUUUGUUUUUCUUUUAGAAAAUUAUUCUGUUGUGAAAAAAAAAAAAAAAAAAAAAAAACUACUUUGUCUUCUUUCUUAACUAUUCAACAACUGUUGGUCAUUUUUUUUGGUUCCAAACAACUUGAGGAUUAAAUUCGAAACCUCUUCAAUUGAAAUGAAGAUUAGAUGCCGCUGAUCAAAUGACUUUAAAAAAAAAAAUUAAUACACCACAUAUGUAUAAUAUCAAUAAAAUAUAAUUGAAAUAGUAUUAUACUAUUAAAGAACAUAAGAAAAAUGGAGAUGGACCUUGGAGGCAUGGCCGUGGGGAGCUGUGAAAUGGCGUGACUCGAGGUCCAAGGAGUCGUAUCUUCGCAACUUUUGCCAUGAAAGUCUCUUCCCUUUGAGUUGAUCCUUAUGAUGAUCGUGACGAUCAGAAACUUCCUGAUGAUCUUGGCUUCCCUCAAUAUCUGUAGGGUUUUCCACUACUACCUCUUCGUCAGGCAUUUCUAUUAAACCUAG